GAAAGCUUGCUGUAAAUGUUCAAUGCCUAUUUCAGAAGAUGACCGUGUGCGACCAAAUUUAGCUCUACGUUCUGCUGUUCAAGCAUUUCGCAGAGAGGAGGAACAAACCUCAAAAGUGGCUAAAAGAAGAAGAGACAGAUUUGAGCAGGAUAAAUGUAGUCCCAAUGAUCCAUAUCCUAUGUGUUCUC